rnacentral:rRNA from 1 species
UACGAAGGGUGCAAGCGUUACUCGGAAUUACUGGGCGUAAAGCGUGCGUAGGUGGUUUGUUAAGUCUGAUGUGAAAGUCCAGGGCUCAACCCUGGAAUGCCGGUGGAAACUGUCGGGCUAGAGUCCGGAAGAGGCGAGUGGAAUUCCUGGUGUAGCGGUGAAAUGCGCAGAUAUCAGGAGGAACACCAAUGGCGAAGGCAGCUCGCUGGGCCGAUACUGACGCUGAGGAGCGAAAGCGUGGGGAGCAAACAGG